rnacentral:rRNA from 1 species
AUGAUUAUAGCUACAUUCUCUGCUGUUGGAGGUCAAAUUUGGUGUAUCACCGAGAACCAUACUGAGAGGGAACAUUUUGUUGAUGAGAUUCGAUAAGUGUUGUUACUUGCUGUAGAUACUCAAAAAGGCAAAGGAACGGAAGACAUAAGGCUCAUACAGUUCAAGGAGUGGAUGGACGAAUACAACAUUCAAUAUCCAGAUGAGGAAACAGCACGGAGCAAAUUCUCUAUCUUCAAGGCAAACGUAGAAUUGCACGGCUAUACUACGUACAAAGAGUAUAGGGCUGCUUUAGAUGCAACAUCAUACGAUGAUCUUGUACGCUCACUUCGACGAUCAAAGGUUGAUUGGGUUGAGGCUGGCGUUGUCUCUCCUGUUGUGAGGAAACAAAAGCAUUGCGGUUGUUGUUGGGCCAUGGCCACCGUAGCCUCUGUCGAGGCAUUACACUAUAUGAAGACCAAACAGUCAAUCAUGUUGUCGGUUCCACAACUCAUCGAUUGUGAUACAAAGAACAACGGUUGCAUUGGUGGUCAUUCCGAUGUUGCUCUCGAGUAUAUACGAAAAAAUGGACUAUGGAGUGAAUCUUCCUACCCUUACAUGGACCAGAGUAAUAGUUUGAGUUGCAAGGUGAACAAAGCAGUAGUAGCAAGGAUAUCGGGUUUUGAGACUGUACCCACAACAGAGGAAGCUCUGGAGGAGGCUGUUGCAAAGCAGCCCGUGAUUAUCUAUUUGAAGUGGCCACCUAGUAUGAACAAUUACAAAGGAGGCAUCAUAGAGUAUGAAGACCUGCCAACAACUCUGCCGCUGGCAUGCUGUCCUGAUUGUCGGUUAUGGCACGGACUCCAAUGGCAUUAA